rnacentral:rRNA from 1 species
GUAGGGAAUAUUGGGCAAUGGAUGCAAGUCUGACCCAGCCAUCCCGCGUGCCGGAAGAAGGCCCUCAGGGUUGUAAACGGCUUUUGACGGUGAAGAAUCGACAGGAUGCGUCCUGUUUUGACGGUAGCCGUUGAAUAAGCACCGGCUAACUCCGUGCCAGCAGCCGCGGUAAUACGGAGGGUGCGAGCGUUGUCCGGAUUUAUUGGGUUUAAAGGGUGCGUAGGCUGGAAGGUCAGUCAGCGGUGAAAAGCUGUCGCUUAACGAUAGUCUUGCCGCAGAUACUUCCUUUCUUGGAUGAGGAGGAGGCCACUGGAACGGAUGGUGUAGCAGUGAAAUGCAUAGAUAUCAUCCAGAACACCGAUUGCGAAGGCAGGUGGCUGUACCUUAAUCGACGCUGAUGCACGAAAGCAUGGGGAGCAAACAGGAUUAGAAACCCGAGUAGUCC